rnacentral:rRNA from 1 species
UAGCGUAUAUUAAAGUUGUUGCAGUUAGAACGCUCGUAGUCGGAUUUCGGGGCGAGCCUUCCGGUCUGCCGAUGGGUAUGCACUGGUAGGGUCGUCCUUCCUUCCGGAGACCGUUCCUACUCUUAACUGAGCGGGGUCGGGAGACGGAAUUUUUACUUUGAAAAAAUCAGAGUGUUUCAAGCAGGCAGCUCGCUCUUGCAUGGAUUAGCAUGGGAUAAUGAAAUAGGACUUUGGUGCUAUUUUGUUGGUUUCGAACACCGAAGUAAUGAUUAACAGGGACAGUCAGGGGCACUCGUAUUCCGCCGAGAGAGGUGAAAUUCUCAGACCAGCGGAAGACGAACCACUGCGAAAGCAUUUG